GGCGCGGUAGCAAAGCGGUUAUGCCCCGGAUUGCAAAUCCGGUUAGAUCAGUUCGACUCUGAUCCGCGCCUCCA
rnacentral:tRNA from 1 species